UACGUAGGCAGCGAGCGUUGUUCGGAGUUACUGGGCGUAAAGGGUGUGUAGGCGGUUCUUUUAAGUUUGGCGUGAAAUCUCCCGGCUCAACCGGGAGGGUGCGUCGAAUACUGAGGGACUAGAGUACGGGAGAGGAAAGUGGAAUUCCUGGUGUAGCGGUGAAAUGCGUAGAUAUCAGGAGGAACACCGGUGGUGUAGACGGCUUUCUGGACCGUAACUGACGCUGAGACACGAAAGCGUGGGUAGCAAACAGG
rnacentral:rRNA from 1 species